GUAGAAUACAAGGAAAACAAUUUCUAUUCAUUCACAAAUUUGAUAAAUGAAAUGGGGUUGGUCAGAGAACCUGCUUCAUCAAAUAUAAUGACUACUGAGUGGAGAAGUGGGAUCACUUCCAAAAUAAGGUGCAAUUGAUAUUCUCUGAUCACUACAGUGCGUCAGAGUGAUGUAUCAUCCCUUCAUCAAGUUUACACGUACAACAUCAGUUAAGGACUUUGGUUGGAACAGAAAAGUGUUCUUACAAAGAGACUUCCUUAGCAACUUCACACGAAUUACGCGCAAAAUGCAGAGUCACUAAGUCAUUGGCUUGGAUCAUUCAUCAAAUUAAAACUGGGAGCUAAACCAAUUUCUUUGACAUUGCUUAUUAUUCAAAGAACUGUACUAACAUUGGGACUUGUGACUAGUUCCCUAAUCUAACUAGCCAAUAGCUAAGCUAAACUCUAGCAGCUUCAACAUUGUUUAC
rnacentral:misc_RNA from 1 species